GCUGCCGCCGCCUGCGGCUGUGGAUACAAGUGCCGGGCGGAUGCAGAGCGGGUCUAAGAAGGGUGUUUUGCGGCCCGCGGAGGCGCGCUUUACUUCCACAUCGGGGAGACCGAAAAGAAGUGCUUUAUUGAGGAGAUUCCGGACGAGACCAUGGUUAUAGGAAACUACCGGACACAGCUGUAUGACAAGCAGCGGGAGGAGUACCAGCCGGCCACCCCCGGGCUUGGUAUGUUCGUGGAGGUGAAGGACCCAGAGGACAAGGAGAAAAGAAAGCAUCUCCUGAAAAAAAAUUAACCUGUAACAUCAUAAAGAGAGACACAAGUUGGCUGAAAAAUAGUGGGAAGACAGAGGUGCUCAUCCGACUACC